rnacentral:rRNA from 1 species
AGACUUUGAUCCUGGCUCAGAUUGAACGCUGGCGGCAGGCCUAACACAUGCAAGUCGAGCGGUAGCACAGAGAAGCUUGCUUCUUGGGUGACGAGCGGCGGACGGGUGAGUAACGCGUGGGAAUCUACCUGGUAGUGGGGGACAACAGUCGGAAACGACUGCUAAUACCGCAUACGCCCUUCGGGGGAAAGUGGGGGAUCUUCGGACCUCACGCUAUCAGAUGAGCCCGCGUCGGACUAGCUUGUUGGUGAGGUAAAGGCUCACCAAGGCGAUGAUCCGUAGCUGGUCUGAGAGGAUGACCAGCCACACUGGGACUGAGACACGGCCCAUACUCCUACGGGAGGCAGCAGUGGGGAAUAUUGGACAAUGGGGGCAACCCUGAUCCAGCCAUGCCGCGUGUGUGAAGAAGGCCUU